rnacentral:lncRNA from 1 species
UGGUCAAUGCUUCUGUUUUUCUUCUCUGGUUUUCGGGUCCUUAUUCUCUGGUUUUUCCUUCCCCGGCCUCUGCUGCGCUGUUGUUGUUGUAGGAGCACAUGCUGAACGGCUCACAAUAUGGCAUAAAGGAAGAUGAUAUGUUGGGGAAGAAGAAGUUGCACCGCUGAUUUACUAGUGCGGUCGUUGCUGGUGCAGAAGGAAGAAGCUUGUUGCUGUUGCCAGGGGAAUUAAUCCUGUUUUCUUUGCAGUUCACGGCUGAGAAGACCAAAUGUCAUUGCAACAUGCUGCUGGAAUGAAUAUUAACUGGGGGCUGCUACGGGAAGAAGAGAGGAAAAAAGCUGGGGGGAGGGGGCAGCGGCGGCUAGCCUAG